GUCCAGGGCUACACACGUGCUACAAUGGUGGUCACAGAGGGAAGCCAAACCGCAAGGUGGAGCAAAUCCCUUAAAAGCCAUCUAAGUUCAGAUUGGUCUCUGCAACUCGAGACCAUGAAGUUGGAAUCGCUAGUAAUCGCGGAUCAGAAUGCCGCGGUGAAUACGUUCCCGGGCCUUGUACACACCGCCCGUCACACCAUGAAAGUUGGUCGUACCAGAAGUCGCUGUGCUAACCGCAAGGAGGUAGGCGCCCAAGGUAUGGUCGAUGAUUGGGGUGAAGUCGUAACAAGGUAGCCGUAGGGGAACCUGCGGCUGGAUCACCUCCUUUCUAAGG
rnacentral:rRNA from 1 species